rnacentral:rRNA from 1 species
CCAAUAGCGUAUAUUAAAGUUGUUGCAGUUAAAAAGCUCGUAGUUGAAUUUCGGGAUCAAUAUGUCGGUCGUGCCUUCGGUACGUACUGGUAUCAUUGGUCUCUCCUUUCUGACGAACCAUGAUGUCAUUAAUUUGGUGUUAUGGGGAGUUAGGACUGUUACUUUGAAAAAAUUAGAGUGUUUAAAGCAGGCUUUAGCUUGAAUACAUUAGCAUGGAAUAAUGAAAUAGGACGUUCGAACCUAUUUUGUUGGUUUCUAGGAUCAACGUAAUGAUUAAUAGGGAUAGUUGGGGGCAUUAGUAUUCAAUUGUCAGAGGUGAAAUUCUUGGAUUUAUUGAAGACUAACUACUGCGAAAGCAUUUGCCAAGGAUGUUUUCAUUAAUCAAGAACGAAAGUUAGGGGAUCGAAGACGAUCAGAUACCGUCGUAGUCUUAACCAUAAACUAUGCCGACUAGGGAUCGGAUGAUGUUAAUUUUUUAAUGACUCAUUCGGCGCCUUAC